rnacentral:rRNA from 1 species
AGCAGCCGCGGUAAUUCCAGCUCCAAUAGCGUAUAUUAAAGUUGUUGCAGUUAAAAAGCUCGUAGUUGAAUUUCGGAAUCUGUCCGUUGGUCGGGCUUAAUUGUCCGUACUGAUGUGAUGGGUUCUUACCUUCUGAAUAACCAGCAUGUCAUUAAUUUGGUGUGUUGGGGAAGCAGGACUAUUACCUUGAAAAAAUUAGAGUGCUCAAAGCAGGCUAGUGCCUGAAUACAUUAGCAUGGAAUAAUAAAAUAGGACGGCAUGGUUCUAUUUUGUUGGUUUCUAGGAUCACCGUAAUGAUUAAUAGGGAUAGUUGGGGGCAUUAGUAUUCAAUUGUCAGAGGUGAAAUUCUUGGAUUUAUUGAAGACUAACUUCUGCGAAAGCAUUUGCCAAGGAUGUUUUCAUUAAUCAAGAACGAAAGUUAGGGGAUCGAAGACGAUCAGAUGCCGUCGUAGUCUUAACCAUAAACUAUGCCGACUAGGGAUCGGACGAUGUUAAUUUUAUAAUGACUCGUUC